AAGAAAUAGUUUAAAAAAAUUUUAAUUUUGGAGAUUAAAGAUAGAGAAUUUCUCUUUUCUUGAA
rnacentral:tRNA from 1 species